rnacentral:rRNA from 1 species
CCAGAGAGCCAUAUCUCCCUGUAGUUCUUGUCUGGUUUCCCACUGAAGCUAAGCAGGGUUGAGUCUGGCCAGUACCUGGAUGGGAGACCUCCUGGGGAAAACUAAGGUUGCUGCUGGA